rnacentral:rRNA from 1 species
GACGAACGCUGGCGGCGUGCUUAACACAUGCAAGUCGAACGAAGUGGCGAACGGGUGAGUAACGCGUAAUCAACCUGCCCUUCAGAGGGGGACAACAGUUGGAAACGACUGCUAAUACCGCAUACUGAAGGAGGGGAUUGCGUCUGAUUGGCUAGUUGGAGGGGUAACGGCCGACCAAGGCGAUGAUCAGUAGCCGGUCUGGGAGGAUGGACGGCCAAAUUGGGACUGGGGAACGGGCCAAACUCCUACGGGAGGACGCAGUUGGGAAUCUUCCGCAAAGGGCGAAAGUCUGACGGAGCAACGCCGCGUGAGUGAUGACGGCCUUCGGGUUGUAAAGCUCUGUUAAUCGGGACGCGGUACCGGAAUAGAAAGCCACGGCUAACUACGUGCCAGCAGCCGCGGUAAUUC